UACAGAGGUCCCAAGCGUUGUUCGGAUUCAUUGGGCGUAAAGGGCGCGUAGGCGGCCACCGCAAGUCGACUGUGAAAUCUCCGGGCUUAACUCGGAACGGCCAAGUGAAACUGUCAAGCUAGAGUGCAGAAGGGGCAAUCGGAAUUCUUGGUGUAGCGGUGAAAUGCGUAGAUAUCAAGAGGAACACCUGAGGUGAAGACGGGUUGCUGGGCUGACACUGACGCUGAGGCGCGAAAGCCAGGGGAGCAAACGGG
rnacentral:rRNA from 1 species